rnacentral:tRNA from 1 species
GCAGUAGUGGUUCAGUGGUAGAAUUCUCGCCUUCAGUGUGGGAGUCCCAGGUUUGAUUCCAAGCCACAGUA